rnacentral:rRNA from 1 species
GACGAACGCUGGCGGCGUGCCUAAUACAUGCAAGUCGAACGCGUCUACGUUAAUGAAAUCAAUGUGCUUGCACGGCGAUGGAUUUAACAUUAGACGAGUGGCGAACUGGUGAGUAACACGUGGGUAACCUGCCCUCAAGCAGGGGAUAACACUUGGAAACAGGUGCUAAUACCGUAUAACAACAAAAACCGCAUGGUUUUUGUUUGAAAGAUGGUUUCGGCUAUCACUUGAGGAUGGACCCGCGGCGUAUUAGCUAGUUGGUGAGGUAAUGGCUCACCAAGGCAAUGAUACGUAGCCGACCUGAGAGGGUAAUCGGCCACAUUGGGACUGAGACACGGCCCAAACUCCUACGGGAGGCAGCAGUAGGGAAUCUUCCACAAUGGACGAAAGUCUGACCGAGCAACGCCGCGUGAGUGAAGAAGGUUUUCGGAUCGUAAAACUCUGUUGUUAGAGAAGAACAGGAGAAGUAGUAACUGGCUUCUUUUUGACGGUAUCUAACCAGAAAGCCACGGCUAACUACGUGCCAGCCGCCGCCGUAACAC